GAUGAACGCUGGCGGCAGGCUUAACACAUGCAAGUCGAACGGGUGCAGCAAUGCAUCAGUGGCAGACGGGUGAGUAACACGUGGGAACCUUCCUAGGGGUACGGAACAACUCAGGGAAACUUGAGCUAAUACCGUAUACGUCCGUGAGGAGAAAGAUUUAUCGCCCUUAGACGGGCCCGCGUCGGAUUAGCUAGUUGGUGGGGUAACGGCCUACCAAGGCGACGAUCCGUAGCUGAUCUUAGAGGAUGAUCAGCCACACUGGGGCUGAGACACGGCCCAGACUCCUACGGGAGGCAGCAGUGGGGAAUCUUGGACAAUGGGCGCAAGCCUGAUCCAGCCAUGCCGCGUGAGUGAAGAAGGUCUUCGGAUUGUAAAGCUCUUUUGCCAGGGACGAUAAUGACGGUACCUGGAGAAUAAGCCCCGGCAAACUUCGUGCCAGCCGCCGCUGUAA
rnacentral:rRNA from 1 species